GGGGUUUUGGCUCAGUGGUAGAGCACUUGCCUAGCACGUGUGAGGCACUGGGUUUGAUCCUCAAUACCACA
rnacentral:tRNA from 1 species